rnacentral:rRNA from 1 species
CUACGGGGUGCACCAGUGAGGAAUUUUGCGCAAUGGGGGCAACCCUGACGCAGCAACGCCGCGUGAGUGAAGAAGGCCCUUGGGUCGUAAAGCUCUGUCAAUGGGGAAGAAGUUACUUGGUAUUAAUAGUGCCUUGUAUUGACGGUACCCAUGAAGGAAGCACCGGCUAACUCCGUGCCAGCAGCCGCGGUAAUACGGGGGGUGCAAGCGUUAGUCGGAAUUAUUGGGCGUAAAGGGCACGCAGGCGAUCCUGUCAGUCAGAUGUGAAAGCCCGGGGCUCAACCCCGGACGUGCAUUUGAAACAGCAGGACUUGAGUACGGGAGAGGAAAGGGGAAUUCCUGGUGUAGAGGUGAAAUUCGUAGAUAUCAGGAGGAACACCGGUGGCGAAGGCGCCUUUCUGGACCGAUACUGACGCUGAGGUGCGAAGGCGUGGGUAGCGAACGGGAUUAGAUACCCGCGUAGUC